rnacentral:rRNA from 1 species
AUUGAACGCUGGCGGCAGGCUUAACACAUGCAAGUCGAGCGAGCGGCGGACGGGUGAGUAAUGUCUGGGAAACUGCCUGAUGGAGGGGGAUAACUACUGGAAACGGUAGCUAAUACCGCAUACCAUCAGAAGGGCCCAGAUGGGAUUAGCUAGGUUGUGGGGUAAUGGCCCACCUAGGCGACGAUCCCUAGCUGGUCUGAGAGGAUGACCAGCCACACUGUAACGGAGACGCGGUCCAGACUACUACGGGAGGCAGCAGUGGGGAAUAUUGCACAAUGGGCGCAGGCCUGAUGCAGCCAUGCCGCGUGUGUGAAGAAGGCCUUCGGGUUGUAAAGCACUUUCAGCGAGGAGGCGUUACUCUCAGAAGAAGCACCGGCUAACUCCGUGCCAGCAGCCGCGGUAAUUC